CCUACGGGUGGCAGCAGUCGAGAAUCAUUCACAAUGGGGGAAACCCUGAUGGUGCGACGCCGCGUGGGGGAAUGAAGGUCUUCGGAUUGUAAACCCCUGUCAUGUGGGAGCAAAUGAAAAAGAUAGUACCACAAGAGGAAGAGACGGCUAACUCUGUGCCAGCAGCCGCGGUAAUACAGAGGUCUCAAGCGUUGUUCGGAAUCACUGGGCGUAAGGCGUGCGUAGGCUGUUUCGUAAGUCGUGUGUGAAAGGCGCGGGCUCAACCCGCGGACGGCACAUGAUACUGCGAGACUAGAGUAAUGGAGGGGGAACCGGAAUUCUCGGUGUAGCAGUGAAAUGCGUAGAUAUCGAGAGGAACACUCGUGGCGAAGGCGGGUUCCUGGACAUUAACUGACGCUGAGGCACGAAGGCCAGGGGAGCGAAAGGGAUUAGAUACCCCUGUAGUC
rnacentral:rRNA from 1 species